GGGGCUUCCCCUGGCCCCUCGGGGCUGGCUCCAGCCCGUCAGUGCUCCCCGAAGUCCUCAGGGCUACCCCUGGCUCCUCAGGGUUAACCACGACCCCUCAGGGUUAACCCCGGCACCUCAGGGCUGUCCCCAGCCCCUCAGAGCUCCUCAGAUCCCUCAGGGCUGUCCCCCGGCCAAGCCCCGACCCUCAGCGGUCUCCUCCUUUGCCAUGUGAGGUGUGUGUGUGAGGACUGGGGGACACAGAGGGGACUGGGACAUGUUUGUCCCCACAGUAUGUGCUCUCCACACCAAGGUGCGUGGUGCUGUUGGUGGUUUCGGCAGCGUUUUGCAGGUGCUGCUCGACCCCAUGUUUCCCUUUCAGCUUUUAUUUCGUACCCCGGUGAUGGUGUCUAGGCCCAGCUGGGGUGAUAUAUCACAAAAUUGGUGGUAAAUUGUGCACGGUGGCACCAACAGUGUGAAGGCAGGUAAAUAGCCCUUCCUCAGACAGGUUGGGGAUAGAUCUGCAUCUACACAUUGACAUCUAUGUUUUUUGCCUUCGCUGUUGGCAGAUGAGCUUCUCAAACAUUGGUUUCCUUAUAAAUCUUCAGCAGGAACCUGAAGGUGCAGAUUGAAGGGGCCCUUGUCAGUAACCUCAGGAAGGCUUUCCCUGUGAAAUGACUCUGUAAUGUAAUAUUCUUUCAUCUUUCCAAGAGAUUGAAUAUGUCUGGAAAGAAGAGGCAAUUUGAGGAAGACAGCUGGGAUCAGCAUGACCGAAGGGGACAAGGAGCUGGCUGAGUGUACAGGAGCUAUGCGCAGCAGAGCGGCUGGCCUGGCCCGCAGGAGGGAUGAGCCCUGCAGCCUGUGGGAAGGAUGUCCGUGUCCGGGUUUACAAGGGCUGGGAGGAAAACAAAGACUGAGGAGCUCUCAGGCAGAAAACAAAGCUAGGAAGAAAAGUCUUCCACUUGUACGUGAUAAAUGCAACAAAGAUGGCUUUGGAAGCAAGUUGCUUUGAUCAAAGUAAAAUCCAUAAAAGCCUGGAGGGAGACUUGUGAGUGCUAUCUCAUGAAGACAAUCAGCUGGAGACAGCAAGGGCUUCCUCGGGAAAGAGAAGGGAGAGUCCCACGACUCACUGGCGGCUCAUGGAAUACACCCGUUUUGAAGUACAAUGCCUGCUGCUUGCAGUAAAGAAAAGAAUGAUAUGAAACUUUACAAAUGAGACCUGGAAUUUACCAUUAUGGUCAAAGAAAGAUGUUUGAUGAAUGGAUGUGAAAUCUCAGAACUGUAAUGUAAUGAUGGGGUCACUUCCUCAUGAUGGAUAGAUAUGUUGUGUACUAUUCAGAGCCUUAAAAAAAGGGUUGCGUUUACCAUACUCAGGGAAGCAUCAAAGUGUUUGGGUAUGACUUGAAGCAAUAGAAUCAUUACAAUUUGCCUUUGAACAAAGUCAGGAAAUGUAUUGAUCAUAUAGGUUUAUGCUGCUAGAAAAGCAGCUAAUGAUGGCUCUGUUGAUGUGUUCUGUGAACAGCUUGAGGGAAUGUUCAUUAAAACCUUACACCAUGUAUGCCGCUGCACCAUUUGGGAGCUUGAAUGUAAAAGCUGGAAUUACAAACCCUUGUAAAGAACAAUUUGAGUUUACAAAAUACAAUAGCAUAUCUGAAUUCUGCAGCGCCAGUCAUUUCACCCUUACAAAGCUUCUGCGGUAAAUGCGUGGGAUUUUUGCGGCCAUGCGGGUUAUGACAGCAUGACAAAGGAGCACGCUGACAACACAGUGAUCAUCAGCAUGGAGCUUCAAGUGUCAGUGGAAGAACGCUUUCCUAAACUCAGGAUAUGUGGUGAACCACAGCAUGUUGUCUAUUACAGAUGGGCCCACAUCCAAAUUGCAACAUCCUGAAUUGUGUGUGAGCUAAAUCUGGUUACAGAUACAGAUCUGAAUAUCAUGAGCAGGGUGGAGUGGAGCUUGUGUUAUGAUCUGACUCCCUCGGCCUGGUGACUUGGAUUUGGCAUGAGUUUGGCAUGUCCAAGCUAACACUCGUUUUUUACCUAGACCCCAAAUAAAUAGGAAACUGGAGGAUGUCCUGUAAAUGAGUGACUGUUGUGUUAUAUCUCUGAAACCAUAGGGUGGUCUUUAGCUGCCUGCAGCACUCUACAUUUGAGUUCCUUUUGUUGCUGGUGUUAUUCACUGGGAAAGAAUGUGGCCCCAUUUCCAGUGACAGAGGGUGUGAAAUGUUAAAAAGUAGAAGUGCUAAGUGGAUUUUGAAGAGAUCAAAAAAAAAAAAAAAAAAUCAGAAUUUACAGGAAAGGAAAAAGCCCAGUAGUUCCCUAUUCAGCAGUGACCAA